UAGUCAUAUGCUUGUCUGAAAGAUUAAGCCAUGCAUGUCUAAGUAUAAACAUUUAUACUGUGAAACUGCGGACGGCUCAUUAAAUCAGUUAUAGUUUACUUGAUCAUAUUUCUUACUUGGAUAACCGUAGUAAAUCUAGAGCUAAUAUAUGUAAAAAAUCUGGUCUCUUUUGAGAUAGGAUGAAUUUAUUAGAUUAGAAUUGGCGCAGGAUUUAUCCUGAGUUAUGGUGAUUCAUAAUAACUAAUCGAAUCGCAAAGACUUUUAGUCAGCGAUGAUACAUAUAAAUUUCUGCCCUAUCAACUUUCGAUGGUAGUAUAGAGGACUACCAUGGUUAUAACGGGUAAUGGGGAAUUAGGGUUCGAUUCCGGAGAGGGGGCCUGAGAGAUGGCCACCACUUCCAAGGAAGGCAGCAGGUGUGUAAAUUACCCAAUCCUGAUUCAGGGAGGUAGUGACAAGAAAUACCAGUACAGGACCUUAUUGGUACUGUGUUUGGAAUGAGUACAAUUUAAAAACCUUAAUGAGGAACAAUUG
rnacentral:rRNA from 1 species